UCUAAGGUCUAACCUGCCCACUGAUUAUUUGAAUGGCCGCGGUAUCUUGACCGUGCGAAGGUAGCAUAAUAAUUAGUUUUUUAAUUGAAAGCUGGAAUGAAUGGUUGAACGAAAAAAAGACUGUCUCAGUUUAAUUUAAAUUAGAAUUUUAUUUUUAAGUUAAAAAGCUUAAAUUUAUUUAAAAGACGAGAAGACCCUGUGGAGUUUUAUAAUACUUGUUAUUUCUUUUUUUUAAGUAUUGUUAAUUGAGGAGUAGUAAUCAUUAUUUGGUUGGGGUGAUUAGAAAAUUGAAUAAACUUUUCUUUAUAACUUUAACAUUGAUUUAUGAAUAAUUGAUCCGCUUGUUGCGAUUGAAAGAUUAAAUUACCCCAGGGAUAACAGCGUAAUUUUUCCUGAGAGCUCUUAUCGAAGGAAGGGUUUGCGACCUCGAUGUUGGAUUAAAAU
rnacentral:rRNA from 1 species